AAAGAUGACGCUUUGUCUGCGAGCUGUAGAUGGCAAAUCUAAAGAUAACACAAUAGUGAGGGAGAUAGAGGGGGACAAUCUCGUACAGACAGCAACAUGCAAUGGCGUCACGGCUAAAACGACCUUCAAGAAAUGUUAAUACUAGUUUUCAUUAUCAGACGUGUCCAUUUUUUUAAUGUGUGCAAUGUAUGAAUUGUUUAUCAUUUUUUGAGAGCCUUUUUUAUAUAAUAAAAGAAUGAUAUUUUG
rnacentral:misc_RNA from 1 species